GAAGCCUUGGGUAGGGGUAGAAUCCGAGAGUGGGUACAAACAUUGGCCAAGUCUCCUCCGCCAGCAACGGCCUCUUUGUACUUAGACUUUGUUGGAUGGUGCUAUGAACACUGUAAUGCCCUGCCAUCUUUUCUGGAAUGAAAAAGGGAAGAAGACAAUGUUUCAAGACUAUUUGUAACCACUGUCUUAGGACUCAGGUCCUGCUCUGCUCCUUACCUGCUCCUCUAGUGAUCUGGUCUCAGACAGGCUCCUCAUCAUCAAUCACCCCAGAUCAGUGAAGGCAGCUCAAGUGAGCUUAAAGGUAAUAUAUUCACUAUACAUUUGGAAAUUGAAGUAAAUGUAUAAAGAAGAAAAUG